AGAACCUCUAAUUGCAGAAUUUUUGUGUCAUGGAAACAAAAACAUUCUGACAUCGCAAUAUUGAAGGUGGAAGGCACUAAAUGAUUUUCUAUGUAAAAGCUACUUCUGGGCAUUGACAGCCGUUGCUCUUGUGCCAGGAGAUGUGCCUGCCCAAGAUCCAGACCAGCUAAAGAAGAUCUGGCAGGAAUGGGAGAAACUGCAGGCUCAGCUGUGAAUUCAAUCCAUGACCCAGCAAAUCAGCAAGUGUGCGUGAUAUUAAUAACUGAAGCUCCUUUACAGAUUGCAUUGAUUUUCCAAGCUCCCUUUUCACUUGUGACUUUCAAACUUUGUGCAUAAUGUCUCUUCUAGCCAGGACUGACCUGAAACUACACAGAGAAGGGGAUCCUGGGAUAGAGUCUGAGCUUAGCUUAGUUAAUUCAAUACAGAUGUAUCACAUCACCACCAUUCACAUCUGUCUGCUUCUCUUUGCACUGCUGAUAUCAUAGGCCAAAGUCUAAUCACCUCUUACCUGCACCACUCUCUGCUUCCAUUAUACACUCUGCAUUGCACUGUCACCAGCCAUCUUUCUACAAUAAAUCUAUGCCUGCAACA